rnacentral:lncRNA from 1 species
UGGUUAGCCUAGUUCUCGCGCCGCGGCGCGGGUACAAAAGUCUGAGUCGGACAGUUUUGGCCUCCUGUAGUAAAACGGCUAUAACUUUCUCAUAUGAACUCCGAUUGAGUUGAUUCAAGAUGAUCCAGAACGAGGACGAAUAGACCUACAACGUUCAUGCUUUAAGUGUUUUAAGUUGAGGUCUUUAACAGUAGUGAGUUAACACAAUCUAAUUGAACAUUGUG